rnacentral:rRNA from 1 species
UGGGGAAUUUUGCGCAAUGGGCGAAAGCCUGACGCAGCAACGCCGCGUGAGUGAUGAAGGCUUUCGGGUCGUAAAGCUCUGUCAAGGGGAAAGAAGUGUAUUAUGGUUAAUACCCAUGAUGCUUGACGGUACCCCUAAAGGAAGCACCGGCUCACUCCGUGCCAGCAGCCGCGGUAAUACGGGGGGUGCAAGCGUUGUUCGGAAUUCUUGGGCGUAAAGCGCGUGUAGGCGGUUUGUUAAGUCGGAUGUGAAAGCCCCGGGCUCAACCUGGGAAGUGCAUUGGAAACUGGCAGACUUGAAUACGGGAGAGGGUAGUGGAAUUCCUGGUGUAGGAGUGAAAUCCGGAGAUAUCAGGAGGAACACCGGUGGCGAAGGCGGCUGCCUGGACCGAUAUUGACGCUGAGACGCGAAAGCGUGGGUAGCAAACA